AAGACUAUGUCUUCAGGGAUCAUUUCUAUACUUUGUCUCUAGAGAAGUAUCUCUGAUCAUGUGGAGUUCUGGAAACCAUUAGGAGGAUAUAUACUGAGUAUGAAGCCAGCUCCUGGUGGUGCUUUCUUGGAACUUCCAUUAGCCAUUGAUGAUCAUUUUUUUUUUCCUUUGGAUGAGUAAGAGGUUGAGGAUAUUGUCUGAGUGGU
rnacentral:snoRNA from 1 species